UGGGUCUAAUACCGGAUACGACACCUCCUGGCAUCGGGUGGGUGUGGAAAGUUUUUUCGGUUGGGGAUGGACUCGCGGCCUAUCAGCUUGUUGGUGGGGUAACGGCCUACCAAGGCGACGACGGGUAGCCGGCCUGAGAGGGCGACCGGCCACACUGGGACUGAGACACGGCCCAGACUCCUACGGGAGGCAGCAGUGGGGAAUAUUGCGCAAUGGGCGAAAGCCUGACGCAGCGACGCCGCGUGGGGGAUGACGGCCUUCGGGUUGUAAACCUCUUUCAGCAGGGACGAAGUUGACGUGUACCUGCAGAAGAAGCGCCGGCUAACUACGUGCCAGCAGCCGCGGUAAUACGUAGGGCGCAAGCGUUGUCCGGAAUUAUUGGGCGUAAAGAGCUCGUAGGUGGCUUGUCACGUCGGGUGU
rnacentral:rRNA from 1 species